GGGCUGCAGUGAGGAAUUUUGCGCAAUGGGGGCAACCCUGACGCAGCAACGCCGCGUGAGUGAAGAAGGCCUUUGGGUCGUAAAGCUCUGUCGACAGGGAAGAAGUUAUUUCAUAUAAAUAGUAUGAAGUAUUGACGGUACCUGUAGAGGAAGCACCGGCUAACUCCGUGCCAGCAGCCGCGGUAAUACGGGGGGUGCAAGCGUUAUUCGGAAUUAUUGGGCGUAAAGGGCGCGUAGGCGGUCUUGUCGGUCAGAUGUGAAAGCCCGGGGCUCAACCCUGGACGUGCAUUUGAAACAGCAAGACUUGAGUACGGGAGAGGAAAGCGGAAUUCCUGGUGUAGAGGUGAAAUUCGUAGAUAUCAGGAGGAACACCGAUGGCGAAGGCAGCUUUCUGGACCGAUACUGACGCUGAGGCGCGAAGGCGUGGGUAGCGAACGGGAUUAGAUACCCCUGUAGUC
rnacentral:rRNA from 1 species